rnacentral:rRNA from 1 species
AACGAACGCUGGCGGCAGGCCUAACACAUGCAAGUCGAGCGAGACCUUCGGGUCUAGCGGCGACGGGUUAGUAACGCGUGGGAACGUGCCCUUCUCUGCGGAAUAGCCACUGGAAACGGUGAGUAAUACCGCAUACGCCCUUCGGGGGAAAGAUUUAUCGGAGAAGGAUCGGCCCGCGUUAGAUUAGAUAGUUGGUGGGUAACGGCCUACCAAGUCUACGAUCUAUAGCUGGUUUUAGAGGAUGAUCAGCAACACUGGGACUGAGACACGGCCCAGACUCCUACGGGAGGCAGCAGUGGGGAAUCUUAGACAAUGGGCGCAAGCCUGAUCUAGCCAUGCCGCGUGUGUGAUGAAGGUCUUAGGAUCGUAAAGCACUUUCGCCAGGGAUGAUAAUGACAGUACCUGGUAAAGAAACCCCGGCUAACUCCGUG